GGGCGAUUAGCUCAGUUGGGAGAGCACCUCCCUUACAAGGAGGGGGUCACUGGUUCGAGCCCGGUAUCGCCCC
rnacentral:tRNA from 1 species